CAGCAGUCUAUCAGGUAUUACUAUAGAUUUACAGUUGCAACAUAAAGCUGAUCUAUAGGAAUGCGCAUUUACAUCAUAGGGUUAAGGAUUCGGUUAGGCCAAAGCUAUUGGCUUGGAUCAAGGGUCUACCCUGAUCAUGUAUUCAGUAGGUUGGAGGCAAAAUCAAACCUGUGAAACUGGCAGAGCAUCAUUUGUUGACUUCUUCUUGCUCUCCCUGACUGAGAAGAAGGAAUACAAUGCCAUACCAAAUAUGGCGACCAGAAUGCCUAAUAUGUUCUUCAUGGUGAAAGGAUCGUGUAGUAGAGUGUAGCCAAAAGAGAGAACCAGGCAUGUCUUAAGGUGGCCAAGCACCUGGUAUGUGACUGGAGACGUCGUUCCAAUCACAAGAAAUGUACUGAAGUUCACAGAUACCGCAAUCAAGCAAGAUAGGAUGAUGAAACCCUGCAUAUAAUUCAUGAUAAAGAGCAUCAUGUUGCAUGUAUUGUCCAUCGAAAUUUGAGAUAUUUGUAACUGCAUGAAAUAUUCAGAACAUACCACAACUGGAGUGGUGUAUUUGUGGGCGAAGACACUGCGGUUUGUAAGGAGUCGAUCCACAAACGGGCCGGUCGCAAACAAAAUUGCUGCUUGGUAUGGCGCAGAUUGGUACAGAAGCUGCGUUGACGAGACCUUCAGUUUCUUCUGUAUUGUGUUUGUGAGCUUCAUUCAAAGUUGUUGGGUUAAGGAUACCAUGUGGCUACAGUAACAAGAUAAAGAUUCACCUAUUUUUAUAUGAAAGUAAAUGCAACCUAAUUCAGAAAGAAUCUAGCACUAAGAAAUAAGAAUUUUGAUGCUUCACAAAUAACAUAUAUGGUUCUCCAGCCUUUAAGAAAACCUGCUAAGACUACUGCAAGUUGCAUUUAAAAGGUUUCGAAUAAUAAGAUUUCCUUAUUCUUUUCUUUUAAUCUGCAGUUUUUGGAAUGUCAACGACGAGUAAAGUAUUAAAUGUAGGAUACAAUUUGGCCAACACAAGUGGUGGCGAUGGCGAGGCCAGAAAGGACGGACCCAAGUAGAUUUAGCUCGAGAUCUGUAACUGAUGCGAUACCUACUCCAAGAAGUAAGACCAUAAGAGAGAGCUUGAUAGUCUCGCUGCACGUUGUUGGACUGGUAUUAGCUCACUGAUGAUAAAAAUAAAUACCAUAGGCCCAGAAAAACUAAACAAGUAAAUGACUCAUUUAUGCGUGAUUAGCUUUUCAUCGUUUGAUCCAAAAGUUGAUGCUUGUAAAAGAACACAUCUAAAGUUAUUUCCCCCUUUGAAUAUAAUAUAUAAUACUAUGGAUUAGCAAUAAUUUCUUGUUCCAGUUUCAAAUUAUCAAUAUGUACUUUAGUAUAGUGCAUGUGCCAUCAUCUAUCUUGUAUCUUUUUGCUCUGAUCAUAAAUGGGGUGCAAUUUACAGUGGUUGACUCCUUAAUUAAGGUAAAGUACUGAGUUUAUAUUGAAAAACCUGAAUCUUUUGUUCAGGAAGAUUGUCUCCAACAGCACAGUGAAAGGUAUUAUGGCCAGUUUCGUCAUCUGCAGAACAUACUGAAUUCAAAAUACUUGCGGCAUGGUUUAUGAAAAAUGGUACCUAGAUAGAGCAGCCCUUACCUGGUAGAAUCCAAUGGAGUUGAAUCCUAAACUAAGGUUUAAAAGUCCAAUUGAGGUGCCGUUCAGAAACCCAAAGAGGAUCACUGUAUGUCCAUCAAUUGCCUUGGGCUCAAAAAAGUGUAAGCGUUGUGCCACAUGGAGGGUGCAGUAGGUCACCAUGAGAUGCCAGCUUGUUAAUGUUGUAGCUACAUUCGAAAACAACAGAGUUAAGCAUAAAUUGCAAGUAUUUGAAUCUAUUCAUGCAUGGCCUUUGGUUUGUUGUUAAGUUCUGUUGAAUCUUGCAAACAUGAAGGCUUCUGUACUGACCGAAUGGGAAACCAAGUGUGCUGAUGAGAGCUUUGUUGCAGAUGACAAUGGCAACUGAAGAUGCAACGGAGAGCGCGAGAGACCCGAUCACGCCGAGCUGUAAACCAGCUGUCAUCUUGACCAGCUGAUGUUUCCUUGCUUAUCUGAAGUUACAUUAUCAUGAAGAGUUAGGUGCAAGGGACUCCAUGAAGCUUGUGUUUUGCAACGGCGCAUCUCCAACUGCGGCGACAAAAACCCCGCGCACGCGGUAAACUGCCAUUUUAGCACGUGCGAGACGUUUUCACGCGCUCCAGCGGAGGCGAGAAACUCGGGCGCGCGGGAAACGAUUGCGCGCGGCGGGAGGUCGCGCGCUAAAUUUGGCGCACCGCUUCCGGCGCGCCUAUAAAUUGCUGCGCCCACCACGUGGUCCACAUUGCCACGCGCUCUCUCCCUGCUUCCUCUGAUUCCUCUGCCGCUUCCUCGCCCCGCCACCGAUGCGCCACCACCAUGUCGCCGCGCCGCCGGGGAUCUUCAGGCUACCGCGGUGUCCGCAAGUGCCCCUCCGGCGCCUUCUAUGCUGAGAUUCGGUCUGGUGACGUCCGCCUCGGCCUCGGCACGUUCGAGUUGCACCGUAGUUUUUAUCUAGUUGCACCGUAGUUUUUAUCGUGUUGGACUAGUUUUUUUUAUCUAUCUAUACUAUGAUGAACUAUGUACACACUGUGAA